GCAUUAGCUAGUUGGUAAGGUAACGGCUUACCAAGGCAACGAUGCAUAGCCGACCUGAGAGGGUGAUCGGCCACACUGGAACUGAGACACGGUCCAGACUCCUACGGGAGGCAGCAGUAGGGAAUCUUCCGCAAUGGGCGAAAGCCUGACGGAGCAACGCCGCGUGAGUGAUGAAGGUCUUCGGAUCGUAAAACUCUGUUAUUAGGGAAGAACAUAUGUGUAAGUAACUGUGCACAUCUUGACGGUACCUAAUCAGAAAGCCACGGCUAACUACGUGCCAGCAGCCGCGGUAAUACGUAGGUGGCAAGCGUUAUCCGGAAUUAUUGGGCGUAAAGCGCGCGUA
rnacentral:rRNA from 1 species